CCUGGUGUCUCAGACGGUAAAGAAUCUGCCUGCAAUGCAGGCGACCUGGGUUCAAUCCCUGGGUCAGGA
rnacentral:tRNA from 1 species